rnacentral:lncRNA from 1 species
CUUAAUCCAAAUCUUGAAGUAUCUCCAACCUCAAAUCAAAUUUCUCUAAUCUUCAAUGUCUAUUAAUUUGUUAAUUUUUUGAACUCUUCAAUCGAACAUCAACGACCGAUCCUCUUUAAUCAAAAAGUUGAAGUCAAAUCACAUUCUUUAAUCCAAAAUUUCCUUAUCUUUAUUUAUUUGCCUUCAUCAUGAAAUAAAUAACUACCAACAAAUUUUUGUUUUCCCAUUUUCAAAAUAUAAUCUCAAACAUAUUAUGUUCCAAACACAAUUACUUAAAAGUCAAUUUUAUUCACUUCCCAUCCAACAAUCACCACCUUCAUCCAAACAAUGACAUGUUGCCUUUCAUUCCUUCAUCCAAACAAUGACAUGUUGCCUUUCAUACAAAAAGUUGUAUUCCAAUCUCAUACUUCAAACCUAAUUUUACCAACUUAUGAACUCUCCAACCAAUAUUGUACUUUGUAUACCAAAGUUUGGCUAGCCCCCUUAAAUCCAAAUGUCCAAGUCCAUUCUCCAACCUUAAACAAAA